CCUACGGGAGGCAGCAGUGAGGAAUAUUUGUCAAUGGGCGCGAGCCUGAACCUGCCAAGUAGCGUGAAGGAUGACUGCCCUACGGGUUGUCAACUUCUUUUAUAAAGGAAUAAAGUGAGGCACGUGUGCCUUUUUGUGUGUACUUUAUGAAUAAGUAUCGGCUAACUAAGUGCCAGCAGCCGCGGUCAUACGUAGGAUCCGAGCAUUAUCCGGAUUGACUGGGUGUAAAGGGUGGCGUGGGUGGCGUAAUAAGUAGCUAGUGGAAUCUGGUGGCUAAACCAUUCAGACUAUUAGCUAAACUGUUAAGCUCGAGACCGUUAGGGGUAAGUGGAAUUUCUAGUGUAGGAGUGAAAUCCGUAGAUAUUAGAAGGAACACCAAUAGCGUAGGCAGGUUGCUGGGACGGUUCUGACACUAAGGCACGAAAGCGUAGGGAGCAAACGGGAUUAGAUACCCGAGUAGUC
rnacentral:rRNA from 1 species